rnacentral:rRNA from 1 species
GACGAACGCUGGCGGCGUGCCUAAUACAUGCAAGUUGAGCGCUGAAGGUUGGUACUUGUACCAACUGGAUGAGCAGCGAACGGGUGAGUAACGCGUGGGGAAUCUGCCUUUGAGCGGGGGACAACAUUUGGAAACGAAUGCUAAUACCGCAUAAAAACUUUAAACACAAGUUUUAAGUUUGAAAGAUGCAAUUGCAUCACUCAAAGAUGAUCCCGCGUUGUAUUAGCUAGUUGGUGAGGUAAAGGCUCACCAAGGCGAUGAUACAUAGCCGACCUGAGAGGGGGGUCGGCCAAAUUGGGACUGAGACACGGCCCAAACUCCUACGGGAGGCAGCAGUAGGGAAUCUUCGGCAAUGGACGAAAGUCUGACCGAGCAACGCCGCGUGAGUGAAGAAGGGUUUCGGAUCGUAAAACUCUGUUGGUAGAGAAGAACGUUGGUGAGAGUGGAAAGCUCAUCAAGUGACGGUAACUACCCAGAAAGGGACGGCUAACUACGUG